rnacentral:rRNA from 1 species
UACGGAGGGUGCAAGCGUUAAUCGGAAUUACUGGGCGUAAAGCGUGCGUAGGCGGUUAUCUAAGUCAGGUGUGAAAUCCCCGGGCUCAACCUGGGAAUUGCAUUUGAUACUGGAUAGCUAGAGUUCGGCAGAGGGAAGUGGAAUUUCUGGUGUAGCGGUGAAAUGCGUAGAUAUCAGAAGGAACAUCAGUGGCGAAAGCGACUUCCUGGGCCAGAACUGACGAUCAGGCACGAAAGCGUGGGGAGCAAACAGG